GUGCAGAGCCCGAAGCAGCAGUUGAGCGCGCCCUCCCUGCGCGGCCGCAUUGCUCCAGGGCGGAGCCAAGGAGAUCUCAGCACGCAGGGGAGAGGGGUCGUGAGUGUGCGUGAACGAGCCCUCCUGUGGACAGAUGUGCCUGGCUACCCGUGCCAAAGCAGCCACACUGCCCUCUGAGGGUGCGCCCCGACCGCACCAGGCACCCAGGGACCCCCAGCGCUCACUGUUCCUUGCCUGCUGAGUCCGCACACCUCCUGGGAAGUGCCAGCUGCCAGGCAGAACACCCUGGCCGGACAGGCCUCAGGCUGCUCCCCAGGGCUCACAAGGGCUGCUGCAGCGCGCCGAAUAGGGUCCCCAGGGCCAGCACACCCCAGGGGGUGACCCAGCAAUGGGAAAGUGUGCCGGUGGUCCUCGGUGGGGCCACUGCUGAGGGCUACGUCUGUCCCAGCCUUGAGCCCCAAGCCUUCUCGCCUCCCACCCACCCGGCCUCCUGCCCCUGAACAUCGCCACCCAGGCACUCGGCUGGCCUGUGUCCUCCUCUGGCUGGGCCAGGUCCAAGGGCUCAGUUGUUACUCCAGGGCCGCCCAGGACAGAACUGUCAGCUCCUUGGGGUUGGCUGCAUGUGUCAGCAGCUUCAGGGCACCGGGAUACUCAGCCAUUCCCAGCCUUGAGGUCACUACAAGGACAUCGCCCACGAGAUUAGCGGUCAAGCCCGAUGCCUCCAGGAAGUAGGCUGCCCUCUGGGGGGCUCAUCUCAUCAGUCGAAGGCCCUGAGAAAACAGAGUGAGGCCUCGGAGGAGGAGGUUCAGGCCACAGCCUCAGCUCCUACUGGGUCGGCAACCUGCCCUGCUCACCCCAGCGGGGGCCUGCAGCCUGUACUCUCACAGAGGGCUCAGCGGUAUACCUCCCCAUCAGAACAGUGAGAUUUCAUGUUUGCUGCAGGAAACCUGCAGACAGUGCUGCCGAGCCUGGUCGGGUACCCACCAUGUCCAGCCCCUUCUGAGCACCAACCCCACCUGUCCAUAGCAGGCUAGGUCAGAGCUCUGCUGUUCCCUGUUUACACAUAAGGCACAGACAGGUCAGCAGCUUGGCCAAGGCAACCCCAUGCACGCAGGGCCAAGGGGCAGGCUCAGAUGUGUGGGAAGAGGCUUGGAAACCGAGUGUUGGCCUGGGGACUUUGUCCUGUCUUGGUUGGAAUGGCACUUGCGAAGUUCUGGGCAGCCCAGGUCACUAGGUUGGGCCCCGCUCCGCCCUGCCCAGGGGCCCAGGGACAGUGUCUUUCUCCUCCCCCAGUCCAGGCUGGAGGAGGCGGGUGCUGUCUGUCACGUUGCACCUGGACAGGGCCGCCGCCACUUAGCAACCAUUCCGGUUGACCGGCUGCGGGAGAGGGUGAGAAACAGGAGCUGGCGGGUGGGCAGGGCCAGGUCAGAGCCAGCUUUCCAGAGGGCAGCUGGCUGGGGGUGGGCAGGGCCGCCAGGGGAGGUGGAGCCGUGGGAAGGCAGGCACCCGUUUCCUGCCCUUCGUGACAGAGGGCGUGCUGGGGUGGGGCAGGGACACCUGGAAAGGCAGCCCAGGUCCUGAGCCCCAGGCUGGCACUGGGUCUGGUGCCCACAAGGCUGGUGCUCAGGUCCUCUUGGGGUGACGCUCCAGCUGGAAGAGCCCGGGCCAGCACUUGCCAUGCAUGAUGGCCGCAGGGAGUGGGGAGGACCAGGCUCCUGCAGAACGGCCCAGCACUGGCAGGACUGGCGCGGACGAAGGCCCCUGUGCAUGGAUGCCCAGGACUGUGACAGCACCACCACUGAGGGGGGCGGGGGAACAAGGGCACCAGGACUUUGCUUCGUGCUGGACUCAGGAGGGGCCUGGAAUCCACAUUGGCGCGAAGAGGAUCGGUGGGUGAGGGGCUCAGGUUGGGGCGCCAUGCCACGGUUCUCAUUCACAGAGGGUCUCGCUACACUUCAUGCAUGAAACUCGUAACUGAAUAGAUCCUGUUUCUGCCUGAGUACAAAAGGAUUGUGUCCACUUUAGAAAAUACAGGAAAUAAAGUCUUUUUUUUCAUUUUUUAAAGUUACACAGAA